UACAAUGAUGAGCUCCUAUUCACACUGUGUGAGACUUGUUUCAUUACACGUCAAUGAUCACAAAACCACGAAAAACUGAUUUAAUGACUCUGAGA
rnacentral:snoRNA from 1 species